CAAUUUAUUGAUGUCAAAGGAAAGCAAUGGAGAGACCCUCACCGAUCUCUACUUAUCUGAUCAAUUUGAAAGAUUGAAUCUUGAAUAAAGUUGCUUGGCAAUUUGGUUUAGUCCAUACCAAUUAGAUCGAUCAUAUGAUGACUGAUUAGAUGAAACCUAAACCUAAACCUCUCCAUAAAUAUUAAGUCCAUAGGUCUUCCAUCAUUGUAGAUGUGCGGGCAUGCUACUGGUAUUGAUUGUUCUCGACUGGUUACAGUGGUUUAGUUGCACCAGGUUGAAGUGGUUCAAUUGUACCAGGAAUACGCAACCACUCUAUUAGCAAAGAAUUGCUCCAGGGUAAGGAUGAGGUUGGAUCCAAUAACUAUUAGGUAAGGGACCCAAUGAUGACUUUGUACCUGCUUAUGAACGAUGGGUCGAACUUAAUUAAGAAGUGCGGUCAAUAACUGAUAAGUGAGCCCACAUAACUUAGAGACCAAGUCGUUGCAACAUGCUUAGAGAAGUAUUUGGGCAAAAAGUUGUCCACGUAUUGGUGUGCAUGUUACCAAUAAUUGUUAAGUGAGGUGCAUGGCAUUGGUGGGACC
rnacentral:lncRNA from 1 species